AACGAACGCUGGCGGCAGGCUUAACACAUGCAAGUCGAGCGCGUAGCAAUACGAGCGGCAGACGGGUGAGUAACGCGUGGGAAUCUACCGUACCCUAUGGAAUAGCUCCGGGAAACUGGAAGUAAUACCAUAUACGCCCGAAAGGGGAAAGAUUUAUCGGGGUAUGAUGAGCCCGCGUUGGAUUAGCUAGUUGGUGGGGUAAAGGCCUACCAAGGCGACGAUCCAUAGCUGGUCUGAGAGGAUGAUCAGCCACAUUGGGACUGAGACACGGCCCAAACUCCUACGGGAGGCAGCAGUGGGGAAUAUUGGACAAUGGGGGCAACCCUGAUCCAGCCAUGCCGCGUGAGUGAUGAAGGUCUUAGGAUUGUAAAGCUCUUUCACCGAUGAAGAUAAUGACGGUAGUCGGAGAAGAAGCCCCGGCAAACUUCGUGCCAGCCGCCGCAGUAA
rnacentral:rRNA from 1 species